CCACUGUGGAUCCAGCCUAACGAGAUCAAGCUCGUCAUUUACGUUCCGACCCGCUUCCGCAAAGAUGCGCGUCAGCACCGAAGGCAGGGUCAGGAUCGUCGGCCCC
rnacentral:misc_RNA from 1 species